AGGAAUGUUCGUAAGGAUUUGAAGCUUCAACGUGCAACUUGUAUUUCAGCAGAAUGAAAGCAGCAGAACUAAGCACACUCAAAACAUUGAGUCCAAGAAAGCAAAGAUCAAAUUGAUGACAGAAAAAAGGAAUUCAGACUCUUCUGAAUGAUCAGAACUUUGCAGGCCCUGAGCACCAUAUCAGACACCAAGGACUGGUCUAAGAUCAAGGUUUACCCAGACCUGUACAUGCAGACGCUCAGGAGAGUCAUGACAGGAGCCAAGCACUGUAAGUGUGUAUGUGGACUAUAUGGAGGGCGUUUAUUCUUUCACAGAGAAGCUGUUCGCCUUCUAUCAGCACAGCAGGGAUAGGUAUUCAGUAUCUAUCACUAUCUCCUCAAUGAGAUGACUCGUCUCUUGCUAAUUCUUACUCGCUCCUUCCAACGAGCUAAUAACUGACCAUAACAAUAACUAGCUCAUCAAGGCAGCAGUAGACUAGCACCUCCCUGUUUUGCAUAGUAACAUGCUUUUUUU